rnacentral:tmRNA from 1 species
CCUCUUCAAAUUUUAACCCAGAAAUCCUAUAUUGAGGGGGUGCCGGUCGCACCGGCUAUGGCGAUAAACGGUCACGUAAUAAGCGGAUCGGACCCGGGGGCGGUACCCGGCGCCUCCACCACAAGCCCAUCGGCCAUAGAGCCGAGACACCGGAAAACCAAGAUUUCCACGGGUUUGGUGGGUUUUUGUGGGGGCGAAAUAGGCUCGACGGACGUCUAAAGGUGUUCCUUUUGCUCGGUGAGGUACCACCGUUAUCGGUCCAAACCUAAUAGUUGCGAAUGACAACUAUGAAGGAGAAGUCGCUCUCGCUGCUUAAUGCAGUGCGAGAACUUCAAAUCUGACUCCUAGCCGCUUCCUAACGGCUAGGCGGGGUUCGGCGGGCACCUGGCAACAGAAGCCCGCCACU